GACGAACGCUGGCGGCGUGCCUAAUACAUGCAAGUAGGACGCAGUUGCGAACGGGUGAGUAACGCGUAGGUAACUACCUAUUAGAGGGGGAUAACUAUUGGAAACGAUAGCUAAUACCGCAUACUAGUAGAUGGACCUGCGUUGUAUUAGGUAGUAGGUAGGGUAAUGGCCUACCUAGGCAACGAUACAUAGCCGGCCUGUAGUGGUGGUCGGCCACACUGGGAAUUAGACACGGGCCAGACUCCUUCGGGAGGCAGCAGUAGGGGAUCAUCGGACAUGGGGGGAACCCUGAACGCGCAACGCCGCGGGAGUGAAGAAGGUUUUCGGAUCGUAAAGCUCUGUUGUUAAGGAAGCGGUACUUAACCAGAAAGGAACGGCUAACUACGUGCCAGCAGCCGCGGUAAUAC
rnacentral:rRNA from 1 species